rnacentral:rRNA from 1 species
AACGCUAGCUACAGGCUUAACACAUGCAAGUCGAGGGGCAGCAUGGUCUUAGCUUGCUAAGGCCGAUGGCGACCGGCGCACGGGUGAGUAACGCGUAUCCAACCUUCCGAUAACUCUGGGAUAACCCUUCGAAAGAAGGCCUAAUACCGGAUAGUACCAUAUAGAGGCAUCUUGACAUGGUUAAAGAAUUUUGGUUAUCGAUGGGGAUGCGUUCCAUUAGCUUGUUGGCGUGGUAACGGCCCACCAAGGCAUCGAUGGAUAGGGGUUCUGAGAGGAAGGUCCCCCACAUUGGAACUGAGACACGGUCCAAACUCCUACGGGAGGCAGCAGUGAGGAAUAUUGGUCAAUGGGCGCGAGCCUGAACCAGCCAAGUAGCGUGAAGGAUGAAGGCUCUAUGGGUCGUAAACUUCUUUUAUAUGGGAAUAAAGUUAGCCACGUGUGGCUUUUUGUAUGUACCAUGUGAAUAAGGAUCGGCUAACUCCGUGCCAGCAGCCGCGGUAAUACGGAGGAUCCGAGCGUUAUCCGGAUUUAUUGGGUUUAAAGGGAGCGUAGGCGGAUUAUUAAGUCGGUUGUGAAAGUUUGCGGCUCAACCGUAAAAUUGCAGUUGAUACUGGUAGUCUUGAGUGCAGUAGAGGUAAGCGGAAUUCGUGGUGUAGCGGUGAAAUGCUUAGAUAUCACGAAGAACUCCGAUUG